rnacentral:lncRNA from 1 species
CCCUCCCCCAGCCUCGCUGCCGCCUUGCAGUUUGAUCUCAGACUGCUGUGCUAGCAAUUAGCAAGACUCCGUGGGCGUAGGACCCUCCGAGCCAGGUGCGGGUUAUAAUCUACUGGUGCGCCGUGUUUUAAGCCCGUGGAAAAGCACAGUAUUAGGGUGGGAGUGACCCGAUUUUCCAGGUGCCGUCGGUCACCCCUUUCUUUGACUAGGAAAGGGAACUCCCUGACCCCUUGCGCUUCCCGAGUGAGGCAAUGUCUCGCCCUGCUUUGGCUCGCGCAUGGUGCGCUGCACCCACUGUCCUGCGCCCACUGUCUGGCACUCCCUAGUGAGAUGAACGCGGUACCUCAGAUGGAAAUGCAGAAAUCACCUGUCUUCUGCGUCACUCAUGCUGGGAGCUGUAGACCCGAGCUGUUCCUGUUCGUCCAUCUUGGCUGUAAUCCCAGGUUCAUCAAAAUAAGAUAUGAUCAAGGUACAAAAGAGUUAAAGAAGCUAUUUAUUUUAAUGUUUCCUUGGAGAGCACACUUGUUAUUAUGCCUGCCCCAGCUUUGCCUUCCACCAUGAGUAAAAGCUUCCCAAGUCCUCCCCAGAAGCAGAUGCUGGCGCUAUGCUUCUGGUACAGCCUGAAAAACCUUGAGCCAAUUAAACCUCAGUGAGCUCAAGAUGUCUUUGUUGAAACAGAACCUCCCGAAGUUACAGUAUUGGUUUUGGGGCUCCACACAGAGAACACAUCACGGAAGCUAUAAUUGAGGAAGACAAAGCUGUCAGGACGACACCAAGAGAGUUAGAAAGCCCAAGAGUGGAGCAUUCUUCACCAUGAUUCCACCUGACACUUGGCUGAAAGCAUUUUGCACUAAUUUGCUUUGUGCCCGUUCAGACAAUCUAAAAAGAAAGGAUGGGGGGACAACAAGUGUCUAUUACACAGAAUAAACAGCCUCUGGCAAAUGAAUACAUUUUACACACUUGUGCUUUUGGAGGGAUGGGGUAGUGAUGAGGGGAAGGGGAAUGGAGGAGGAGAAGUCAAGGAUUAGAGGUCUCUUCAGCAUCUCAGGACUGCCUCUCUCUCUCUGUGGUCACAGGGGUAGGUUUGGUCCACAUGGCAGACAUGAAACUCAAGAUACAGCCCUGGCGUAUACGGGUUGGGAGGCCAGUGCUGCCUCUGGUGGUCCCCCCAGACCUGCAAUUCAUAUUUUGAAUGGGUUUAAAGCCUACUUGGCAAUUACUUUUAUCCUCUAAUGAAAUAGAUUUGAACCACUUUCCCUUGAUUAUAUUUUAAAUGUUU